CAUCCGUAUUGAGCUAAUCUCCAGUCCCGAACGUCUAAGCAAGCUCGUAAACCAACCAACCUUCAACGACUGUAUCAAAUACGGUGAAAGGUUGUGCGCCGUCAUAAUGGACACAAAGAUGGUCAAGUUUAUCAAACCAAUAUACGUCGGUUUAGCAGUGCUUGACAUUAGCAAGACGCUAAUGUACAAGUACUUCUACGACGUAUUGAAACCACAUUAUGGCAGUGCAAUCGAAUUGGUUUACAUGGAUACUGAGUAGGCGACUUCUACCAGGAUUUAGCUGGUAGCCCCGAUUUACUAGUGCACGUGGACGCAUCUAGCCUGCCCAAGGAUCACCCUUGCUACUCCACCGAUAGAAAGAAGAUGCCCGGCUUGUUUUCAGACGAGACCAGUGGCCUCACUCUCUUUGAGAUCGCUGCACUUCGAUCAAAGUGCUACGCAUUUGACAUGGAAGGCAGCGAACUCAUAAAGUCUAAGGGGAUCCGCGGACACGUCGUUCGGAACCAUCUGUCUUUGGACGAUUACAAACGGUGUUUGUUUGAAGACGAUGGUGACGAUGGUGACGAUGCGUCAAAACGAGAAUUGGCUGGAGAGAAUGCCCGUGCGGUCAUCGGAGUGAUACGUGGUGGUGAGUGUCCACCGAUAUUAUCGCUACCAUACACUCCGUACCGGCAGAACGUGUCAAUCCGUUCGUUUGAGCACGAGGUACGGACUUUACGUACAACCAAGUUGGCGCUUAACCGUUUUGAUGAUAAGCGCUACACGCUCAACAACAGAAUCGACACGUUGGCCCACGGGCAUUAUGCUAUACCACCACCGGAAGACCUAUAGUUUUUAAGUUCUUAUCAUUGUAAAAAAAAUAUCGUCAAGAAUUGAAAAUUUUUUUUUUUUUUGUAAAUAUACAUGUAUAUAAGUAGUUUUAAAACAUUUUUUUAAUGUAACAUAAUGUAGUAAGAAAUUGUAUUUUUUCUAAAAAAAUAUAUGUAUAUGCGUGUACAUAUCUGUAAAUAUAUUUAUAUAUACUAAAAGGUUUUUUUUUUCUCUUCUGUACGGUACAAUAGUUGUACGUGUAAGAUGCCAUAGUAUUUAAACUAUAGUUACGUAAUGAGAUGUCACAUUUUGAUGGUAAGGUAUUAUCCACCAAAAC